GUUAACGAGGCGAACCGGGGGAACUGAAACAUCUAAGUACCCCGAGGAAAAGAAAUCAACCGAGAUUCCCCCAGUAGCGGCGAGCGAACGGGGAGCAGCCCAGAGUCUGAAUCAGCUUGUGUGUUAGUGGAACGGUCUGGAAAGUCCGACGGUACAGGGUGAUAGUCCCGUACACCAAAAUGCACAGGCUGUGAACUCGAAGAGUAGGGCGGGACACGUGGUAUCCUGUCUGAAUAUGGGGGGACCAUCCUCCAAGGCUAAAUACUCCUGACUGACCGAUAGUGAACCAGUACCGUGAGGGAAAGGCGAAAAGAACCCCGGCGAGGGGAGUGAAAAAGAACCUGAAACCGUGUACGUACAAGCAGUGGGAGCACCUUCGGGUGUGACUGCGUACCUUUUGUAUAAUGGGUCAGCGACUUAUAUUCUGUAGCAAGGUUAACCGUAUAGGGGAGCCGCAGGGAAACCGAGUCUUAACUGGGCGUUAAGUUGCAGGGUAUAGACCCGAAACCCGGUGAUCUAGCCAUGGGCAGGUUGAAGGUUGGGUAACACUAACUGGAGGACCGAACCGACUAAUGUUGAAAAAUUAGCGGAUGACUUGUGGCUGGGGGUGAAAGGCCAAUCAAACCGGGAGAUAGCUGGUUCUCCCCGAAAGCUAUUUAGGUAGCGCCUCGUGAA
rnacentral:rRNA from 1 species